rnacentral:rRNA from 1 species
GAUGAACGCUGGCGGCGUGCCUAAUACAUGCAAGUCGAGCGAACAGAUGAGGAGCUUGCUCCUCUGACGUUAGCGGCGGACGGGUGAGUAACACGUGGAUAACCUACCUAUAAGACUGGGAUAACUUCGGGAAACCGGAGCUAAUACCGGAUAAUAUAUUGAACCGCAUGGUUCAAUAGUGAAAGACGGUUUUGCUGUCACUUAUAGAUGGAUCCGCGCCGCAUUAGCUAGUUGGUAAGGUAACGGCUUACCAAGGCAACGAUGCAUAGCCGACCUGAGAGGGUGAUCGGCCACACUGGAACUGAGACACGGUCCAGACUCCUACGGGAGGCAGCAGUAGGGAAUCUUCCGCAAAGGGCGAAAGCCUGACGGAGCAACGCCGCGUGAGUGAUGAAGGUCUUCGGAUCGUAAAACUCUGUUAUUAGGGAAGAACAAAUGUGUAAGUAACUAUGCACGUCUUGACGGUACCUAAUCAGAAAGCCACGGCUAACUACGUG